rnacentral:rRNA from 1 species
GACAGAGGGUGCAAACGUUGUUCGGAAUUACUGGGCGUAAAGGGCGCGUAGGCGGCCUGCUAAGUCGAACGUGAAAUCCCCGGGCUCAACCCGGGAACUGCGUCCGAUACUGGUUGGCUUGAAUCCGGGAGAGGGAUGCGGAAUUCCAGGUGUAGCGGUGAAAUGCGUAGAUAUCUGGAGGAACACCGGUGGCGAAGGCGGCAUCCUGGACCGGCAUUGACGCUGAGGAGCGAAAGCCAGGGGAGCAAACGGG